rnacentral:rRNA from 1 species
AAGGAAGGUGAAGUAAUUGUCUUCACUGAUCAUCUGCUCCGAGGUUUUACCCCACCUGGCUCAAAAUUCUUCUGUGAUGUGCUGCACUUUUGCAAGCUCCAUCCUCAAGAUAUCGGGCCCAAUUCCGUUUCAAACAUCUGCAACUUUCAAGUGUUUUGCGAAGUAUACCUUCAACAAGAGCCCACCGUAGAAUUGUUCAGACAAUUUUAUUAUUUAAACUGGCAGACUGAAUUCACAGAUGGGCCCAGCCUAGAGUUAGGUGGCAUUUUGAUUCAGAGGUGGAAAGAAGCCACCUUCCCCGCCGCCAAACUACCCAGUCAUCCUAAGGACUGGAAUCAGACUUGGUUUUACUGCCAAGACACUUCUCCAGAAGGGGAAAAAUCCUCUAUCGGGUUACCGUGA